rnacentral:rRNA from 1 species
UACGUAGGCAGCAAGCGUUGUUCGGAGUUACUGGGCGUAAAGGGUGUGUAGGCGGUUCUUUAAGUCUGGUGUGAAAUCUCCCGGCUCAACUGGGAGGGUGCGCCGAAUACUGAGGGACUUCGAGUGCGGGAGAGGAAAGUGGAAUUCCUGGUGUAGCGGUGAAAUGCGUAGAUAUCAGGAGGAACACCGGUGGUGUAGACGGCUUUCUGGACCGUAACUGACGCUGAGACACGAAAGCGUGGGUAGCAAACAGG